AAAAGGAGGAACAGGUCCUGAUAUGGUACAUGGUUCGUUGUUCAACGAUGAAAAGACUCAUCUCUACAAGGCUGCCUUCUGACUUGUGUGAUAAAUCCUGCUCCCUCAAGUCACUUACUUCAGCCACAGCUGCACACAACACAGUCAUCAUCAUCAGAGGGGUCAUCUCCUAAUGGGGAAGGACAGCCCAGCGGAGGAAAUUAUAACGGAUAUCACAUCCUGCCUGUAUAGAUCUGUCAAGUAGAAAGGGCUGCGUGCAGAAUUCUAACUCUGUUCCUUGCAACUCUCCACUGCCUUCCAUUCCUUUUCCAAUUGCCCUGAUUUGAACCAAAUUUUUCAAGUCACUUAACUGACCUCCCUGCCAUUUUUCUUCCUCUACCAAUCCAUUUUACUUAAUUGGAUUAAUUAUUUUUUCCUGAAAGACUUAACAUUUCACUUCUUUGCUAAAAAAUAAACAUACAAACCAACCAAGAAC